UACGGGGGGGGCAAGCGUUGUUCGGAAUUACUGGGCGUAAAGGGCUCGUAGGCGGCCAACUAAGUCAGACGUGAAAUCCCUCGGCUUAACCGGGGGACUGCAUCUGAUACUGGAUGGCUUGAGUUCGGGAGAGGGAUGCGGAAUUCCAGGUGUAGCGGUGAAAUGCGUAGAUAUCUGGAGGAACACCGGUGGCGAAGGCGGCAUCCUGGACCGACACUGACGCUGAGGAGCGAAAGCCAGGGGAGCAAACGGG
rnacentral:rRNA from 1 species